AUCAACCGAGAUUCCCCCAGUAGCGGCGAGCGAACGGGGAGCAGCCCAGAGUCUGAAUCAGCUUGUGUGUUAGUGGAACGGUCUGGAAAGUCCGACGGUACAGGGUGAUAGUCCCGUACACCAAAAUGCACAGGCUGUGAACUCGAAGAGUAGGGCGGGACACGUGGUAUCCUGUCUGAAUAUGGGGGGACCAUCCUCCAAGGCUAAAUACUCCUGACUGACCGAUAGUGAACCAGUACCGUGAGGGAAAGGCGAAAAGAACCCCGGCG
rnacentral:rRNA from 1 species